GACGAACGCUGGCGGCGUGCCUAAUACAUGCAAGUAGAACGCUGAAGGAGGAGCUUGCUCUUCUGGACGAGUUGCGAACGGGUGAGUAACGCGUAGGUAACCUGCCUGGUAGCGGGGGAUAACUAUUGGAAACGAUAGCUAAUACCGCAUAACAGUAGAUGUUGCAUGACAUUUGCUUAAAAGGUGCAAUUGCACCACUACCAGAUGGACCUGCGUUGUAUUAGCUAGUUGGUGGGGUAACGGCUCACCAAGGCGACGAUACAUAGCCGACCUGAGAGGGUGAUCGGCCACACUGGGACUGAGACACGGCCCAGACUCCUACGGGAGGCAGCAGUAGGGAAUCUUCGGCAAUGGACGGAAGUCUGACCGAGCAACGCCGCGUGAGUGAAGAAGGUUUUCGGAUCGUAAAGCUCUGUUGUAAGAGAAGAACGAGUGUGAGAGUGGAAAGUUCACACUGUGACGGUAGCUUACCAGAAAGGGACGGCUAACUACGUG
rnacentral:rRNA from 1 species